AUAAAAUUCAACAAGUUCUUAAACUGUUCUAAGAACUGUUUGUAGAUAAAGCAUAGUAGAUAAAGAUAGGUGGGAAGAAACCUGAAGGAAAAUGAAAAAAUGAUAACAUUUGGAAGUCUCAAGGGAAGAAUAGAGAACAAUAAAACAACGUACUUCAAGAAACUCAGUGCAGGUCUGAAUCACUUCAGAGUGUGAGAGCUGAACAAUAAAUAAUGUGGGCAACAGAAUUUUUAUGCUUGGUGUUCUUCUUUCUCUUUUUAAGUUUAAGUUGACUUAUCCUGUUGAAAUGUACUCUACAUGACUUGGAGCAGGCUGAGGCAACUGCAGAUUCUAAACAGUAAUCUUUUAUAAUUCAUGCAAGACAGUAAGACACCAGAAGAUCAGGAAGAGUAUGUCUUUCAACAGGAUAAAGGAACUGUAAGAGGUCAUUCUUUUACGCCGUUGCCUCAAAGCUUGCUGAGGGACACAGAUGAACAAAUUCAAGCAAGUCCUGACCAAGGAUUAAGAAAACCUUCGUCUGAAGGGACAACAGAUGGACAACGCCUGGGGCAACGAGAGAGAUUCCACACGACCUGCCUCUCCCUCCCGGACUCGCUCUGUGCUCUACCUGCUUGCUGCCUAAGGAUGGCCUCUCUGCUGCUGCUCACCCCUCCGAGAAGGUGUCUGCCAUCAGAUCCCUCACUACAAAAGGCCUGCAUGCUGACUGACUCUCCAGGGCCUGCUACCGGAGACCUGCUGCUUCCGCCCAGACUUCUUCCUGGACCUACUCGGUACCUGCCUGCACCUUCUCGCUGCCUAAGACCGGCCACACCGCUGCUGCUCUUCCCCUGCGCUUUUGCCCCGGACCAUCGGAACGUCGUGCAACGGGACUACUGCCGGAUCCUGGUGUUACAGAUCCUGGAUCGCUUUAAAAUGGAAAAGCCUCAAGCAGCGUUCAGCAACGUUCUCUCUCUUUUAUUAUUUACUGGAAUGGUCACUGUGAGAUCACUGCCUUUGAAGAAGAGUUAGAGAAAAUCCUGCUUUAAAACCAAAGGAAAUCCAGAUUAAACAGGAGAAUGUGGAGGAAGCACAAUGACAGCACAUGAAAUGUUAGAGAAGGACCAAAUAUUUAUCUGUGGUUGAAAAAAUGACAUAUUUCUUCUUGUUUGCUAUCUGACCAUGUUGUUUGUACAAGCACCCUCAGAGGUGUGCAGAAGUAUACAUACAGCUGCAAGGAUAUCACUGAAAGGUCAGUCAUAAUUUUGUCAGACCGUCUCUCUGCUGCCAUCUGUCACCUGGCAACAAGAUGUAAUUGGAUAUUGGUUGGGAAGAUUCAACCCCUACUGUCAUACAAUCAACAUCUGCCUCUGACAUCAUGGGCCAACAUAAUAAAAUAGGAAGCAUUAUUUUUGAAGCAGCCCUUGUAUUCAAAGCCUCAAAUGCAUUAUGAAAAGCAGAGACAAAAAAGAAAUUCAAAAAAAGAUCAAUCAAUAAAGCUGUAAUUUUCUAAAUUUCCAAACUAUCUUUGCUAUUUCCUAAGGUAAACAGACAUUUGAAGAACUUACAAUCAAAUGCUUAACCUGGUGUAACAGUGACGCCAUCGUCUUCAUGCAUGUUAACAAAUCUCAAAUCAAGAGAUUUGAUUUCAAUGUAAGUAUACUUUGACAUAAGUGAGAUUACCUGAAUACCAUGCUUCAGGUAUUCAUAUACCAUGAAAAUAAAAAUGAACACAUUUGUACUCUUGUUGCUGGUGGACAGGCCAUCGUAUGACAAGCUCCCUAGUACUAAGAAAAGCAGAUCUUUUUGGUGAUGUUGGCAGAAAGGUCACAGACUCAUUGGUCUCUAAAUUGAAACCAUUUUUUUUAUCUUCCACUUAUGACUGUUCAGUGCUUUUAAUAUAUAGAUAUAUUUGUAAAAGUUCUGUAAGAUCCAUAAAUCUCCAUCUAAGGAAAUCUCAGCUCAUGUCUUCCACACUUUUUAGUGUUUUGCUCAUGAUUGCAGCUGGAAAGAAGCACUAGUGUCUGCAAGAUAAAGAGAGCAAUCAAGUUCCACUUCUAGGUCCUAGGAUGAAAAAAAAAAAGGCUCCUUCAAAGAGGAAGCCUAUAACUGAUAUACCACUCUGUCUACUGAGCAUGACAGUGAAAAAGAAAGUAUUUCAUUGCACCAAGAAGAGGACAACUCCUUCUGAAACUGUUAUCCUCAGAUGGGAACUACUGUGCAAAAAUUCAUCACAUUAUUUGAAAACGAGUAACUUGCACAAGUGUAUGCCCUGAAGCAAAACAUGAAUAUAUGUAUGCUACACAUAAUUGGCAUGGUAAUGUUAUCCACUGAAAUAUCUAGGUCUCUACAUCAAGCUAAACAUCACAGAGCUAUAAUAAACAAGUAAAUAAAGAAGUGGUGAUUAGCAAACUGGAUUUAUGUUCUUAAGUACCUGAUGUGCUGUAAGUCAGUUCAUACUCACAUCCUAAAGCAGUUUGUGAAAUGUAUAUCUAUUUAAAUGACAUUUACAAAACCUGUUUAUGUUUCAACAUGAUAAAUUCAUCUUCAAUUACUUGGAAAAAUAGGGCGAGUAUUUAUAACCUGUUGUUCUUUUUUCAUAAAAGAAAAACCCAUGCCCAGGCAUUCCUAGUAAUUCUUACUUACAGUAUGACAUCCACAGUGUUCAUCAGAGUACAGUGCAGUGCUGUGCACCUGUAGGAAUUGUUGCUUAAUUUCACAGCUUAGGUGCCCAAAUUAAAUUGCACUGAUUACCUCUUCGACUCCUAUAUUAAAAAUUACCUUUGGUGGUUUUAAUAUAGAUACUCAGGAAGGUUUAAAUUUUAAAUGGAUGACCACGGGUUAAGCUUUAUUCCCUGUCUUAUUAGGAAUUAUACUAAAAAAGCUCUAACAGACUCCCUGUGUAUUUGCAAAAAUCUUUCUGGUGACACCUUAUGACAUCUUGUCAAAAUCCUCACUUUAUUCUUGGUAGUUUUACAUUAAGUUGCUGCCUGCUGGAAAUAAGUUUUAUCACAGCAGGAGCCUAAACCAACAUUUAUUUCAGAAAUCCCAAGAAAACAUUCAGAACUAUCACAGUUAUAGAAAUAUGUACCCCACAUCUUCUGUGGGUGGAUAGAUACAUGCCUGCAUCCGGAAGGCUGGAAACAGGUUUCAGCCCCUGACUGCGGAUGGCUCUGCUCAGAAAGUUCAACUACAACAGUCUGCAGCCAUCUGCUUGUUGCAAUCAGAUCCACUUCAAAGUGUCACAAUCUGACCUUUGUUAUGGCAACAAUAACUUGCAACGGAUGCUCAAGCCAGCUGGUCUGCAGAGAUCCUAGAUCGCCUCAGUGAGUUUAGAAUGACCUUUUGCAGUGCAGACACCAGAAGUCAAAGAGGUGAGCUAUCAUGUUAUCACAGAGAUCUCAGCAUGCUCUAAGGAGCUUUUUUCAGCCUAGGACUGAAAAAAGGGACUCCCUUUAGUGAAUCCUUGAGUCAGCUUUUUACUUCUGUGGUAGAGCCCAAAUGCAUUCUCCUUUCUCAGUUUAUACUUCACAUUUAAUAGAAAUUGUUUUUAUAACAAACAUUUAUGUAAAACCUCUCCAAUAAACUAGGUAGGGCUUCCUGUUAUUCUUUCACUGCUGCUUAGAUUUGUGGUGCUACUCUGAG
ensembl:lncRNA